rnacentral:rRNA from 1 species
GUAGCGGGUCUGAGAGGAUGAUCCGCCACACUGGGACUGAGACACGGCCCAGACUCCUACGGGAGACAGCAGUGGGGAAUUUUGGACAAUGGGGGCAACCCUGAUCCAGCCACGCCGCGUGAGUGAAGAAGGCCUUCGGGUUGUAAAGCUCUUUCGGCCGGGAAGAAAUCGCGCUCUUUAAUAGAGGGUGUGGAUGACGGUACCGGACUAAGAAGCACCGGCUAACUACGUGCCAGCAGCCGCGGUAAU